AUUGAACGCUGGCGGCAGGCUUAACACAUGCAAGUCGAGCGGAGACUUCGGUCUUAGCGGCGAACGGGUGAGUAAUACCUAGGAAUCUGCCUAUUAGUGGGGGAUAACGAAUCGAAAGGUUCGCUAAUACCGCAUACGUCCUACGGGAGAAAGGGGGGGAUCUUUGGACCUCUCGCUAAUAGAUGAGCCUAGGCCGGAUUAGCUAGUAGGUAGGGUAAAGGCCUACCAAGGCGACGAUCUGUAGCUGGUCUGAGAGGAUGGCCAGCCACACUGGAACUGAGACACGGUCCAGACUCCUACGGGAGGCAGCAGUGGGGAAUAUUGGACAAUGGGCGAAAGCCUGACGCAGCCACGCCGCGUGAGCGAUGAAGGCCUUCGGUCGGUAAGACUCUGUGGGAGGAGAAGAAUAAAGACCU
rnacentral:rRNA from 1 species